UACGUAGGGUCCGAGCGUUGUCCGGAAUUACUGGGCGUAAAGAGCUCGUAGGUGGUUUGUCGCGUUGUUCGUGAAAACUCACAGCCUAACUGUGGGCGUGCGGGCGAUACGGGCAGACUAGAGUACUGCAGGGGAGACUGGAAGUUCCUGGUGUAGCGGUGGAAUGCGCAGAUAUCAGGAGGAACACCGGUGGCGAAGGCGGGUCUCUGGGCAGUAACUGACGCUGAGGAGCGAAAGCGUGGGGAGCGAACAGG
rnacentral:rRNA from 1 species